GAUCCUGGCUUAGGAUGAACGCUAGCGAUAGGCUUAACACAUGCAAGUCGAGGGGCAGCACGGUGUAGCAAUACGACUGGUGGCGACCGGCGUACGGGUGCGUAACACGUAUGCAACCUACCCGCUAUGGGGGAUAACCCGGCGAAAGUCGGACUAAUACCCCAUAUUAUUCUUACCGGGCAUCCGGUAGGUCUGAAAGAUUUAUCGAUUGCGGAUGGGCAUGCGGAUGAUUAGCUAGUAGGUGGGGUAACGGCUCACCUAGGCGACGAUCAUUAGGGGUUCUGAGAGGAAGGUCCCCCCACACUGGAACUGAGACACGGUCCAGACUCCUACGGGAGGCGGCAGUGAGGAAUAUUGGUCAAUGGGCGCUAGCCUGAACCAGCCAAGUCGCGUGAAGGAUGACAAGAUCUAUGGUUUGUAAACUUCUUUUGCAGGGGAGUAAAGUGCGACACGUGUGUUGUAUUGCAAGUACCCUGCGAAUAAGCAUCGGCUAACUCCGUGCCAGCAGCCGC
rnacentral:rRNA from 1 species